rnacentral:snRNA from 1 species
UUACUUUAGUAGCAAAUAUACUAUAAUCGGAAGGAUACAGGGAUUAGCAUGGUCCUGUGCAAAAAUGAUACACAAAUUCGGGAAGAGGUCCAUAUUAAA